UUUGGACUUAGGAGAAAGGCUGGACAGGAUUGUAGUUGUAGCCUGGUAACCUUACAGCAGUUACUGGGGCUGUUAUUAUUAUUACUUCAAUCUUAUGUAGAAAUUUGCAAACUGCUUUAUAGUCAUUUUACGCAGAAAAACAAGAACUGACUUACUGUUGCCAAAGAGUGUUCAAAAAUUGCUGACAGCUAAAGAAAGACUCAUUCUGGUGAGGAACAACCACCACCUGCUGUUGGAAGUCAACCCAAAGGCUCUGGCUGGUGUUUGGUAGAAAUCUGUCAUCAUGCCUAGCAGAAAACCCCUCCAUCAAGCGAUGAGUUCCCCAGGUUGGGGAAAUUGAAGUGUGAGGCUUAAGUGACCUGCCCAAAGCUGGUUCAUAGUGGGUGACUCCUUCACUUGUCUUCAGGUUUAAAAGUCAAGACUCCUUCCAUCAUCGUCAUGUGAAUGCCAAGACGACACGUUCCAUAUUAUCCCCAAAUUUGUUUUUCCAUUUAUCUUCAAGAAAUCUGAGAAUUAAGCUGCCUGCCUCCCAGAAACGUGGUAUGAUUUGCUGUUGUUUAACAAUUUCUACAGAAAAAGGAGGGUUAGGAAUAUUUCCCUUGGAUAACAAUAACUGUUGCAGUUGCGCUCUUCAACUAAAUUAUGAGCCAUUAUAAUUCAUUUCAAUUGAUUCUUGAUAUUAUGGUGGG